UGCCGGCAGCUACCAUGCAGUCGAGCGGAUGAUGGGAGCUUGCUCCUGGAUUCAGCGGCGGACGGGUGAGUAAUGCCUAGGAAUCUGCCUGGUAGUGGGGGACAACGUUUCGAAAGGAACGCUAAUACCGCAUACGUCCUACGGGAGAAAGCAGGGGACCUUCGGGCCUUGCGCUAUCAGAUGAGCCUAGGUCGGAUUAGCUAGUUGGUGGGGUAAAGGCCUACCAAGGCGACGAUCCGUAACUGGUCUGAGAGGAUGAUCAGUCACACUGGAACUGAGACACGGUCCAGACUCCUACGGGAGGCAGCAGUGGGGAAUAUUGGACAAUGGGCGAAAGCCUGAUCCAGCCAUGCCGCGUGUGUGAAGAAGGUCUUCGGAUUGUAAAGCACUUUAAGUUGGGAGGAAGGGCAGUAAGUUAAUACCUUGCUGUUUUGACGUUACCAACAGAAUAAGCACCGGCUAACUUCGUGCCAGCAGCCGCGGUAAUACGAAGGGUGCAAGCGUUAAUCGGAAUUACUGGGCGUAAAGCGCGCGUAGGUGGUUUGGUAAGAUGGAUGUGAAAUCCCCGGGCUCAACCUGGGAACUGCAUCCAUAACUGCCUGACUAGAGUACGGUAGAGGGUGGUGGAAUUUCCUGUGUAGCGGUGAAAUGCGUAGAUAUAGGAAGGGAACACCAGUGGCGAAGGCGACCACCCUGGGACUGAUACUGACACUGAGGUGCGAAAGCGUGGGGGGAGCAAACACGAUGUAGAUACCCUGGGUAGUCCGACGGCCGUAAAACGAUUGUUCGACUAGCCGUUGGGAUCCCUUGGAGGAUCUUUAGCUGGGCGCAGCUUAACGCGAAUAAGUCGACCGCCCUUGGGGGGAAGUUACGGGUCCGCCAAGGGUUUAGAAAACUUCAAGAAUGG
rnacentral:rRNA from 1 species